rnacentral:lncRNA from 1 species
UCGGGCAGGGGGCGUGGCCAGCGCGGGCGGGGCCGCGGGCGGGGCGCGCACCUGAGCCGCCGGCGCUUCACCUGUGCGGAGUGUGGGCGGGGCUUCAGCUACAGCUCCGCCUUCCUCAAGCACCGCCACGCCCACGGGGAGGAGCCGGGCGGCGGCGGGAGGAGGAGGAGGAGGAGGAAGGCGGGGCCGGGGCGGGGCUGCGCCCGCUGCGGGGCGGGGCUGGGCCAGGGACACGCCCCCCCGGCACACCUGAGCGGACGCGCCCCGGACACGGGCCUCACCUGGGACACGCCUGGCAGCGGUGCCACGCCCCUCGCCCGUGACACGCCCCUCACCUGUGACACGCCCCUCACCUGUGCCACGCCCACGGCCUUCACCUGGGACACACCUGGCAGCGGUGCCACAGCCCUCACCUGUGCCACGGCCCUCACCUGGGACACGCCUGGCAGCGGUGCCACGCCCCUCGCCCGUGACACGGCCCUCACCUGUGCCACGGCCCUCACCUGGGACACACCUGGCAGCGGUGCCACGCCCCUCGCCUGUGACACGCCCCUCACCUGUGACACGCCCACGGCCUUCACCUGUGCCACGCCCACGGGCCUCACCUGGGACACACCUGGCAGCGGUGCCACGCCCCUCGCCCGUGACACGCCCCUCACCUGUGCCACGCCCACGCCCCUCACCUGUGCCACGCCCCUCACCUGUGCCACGCCCAUGCCCCUCACCUGUGCCAUGCCCCUCACCUGUGAUACACCUGGCAGCGGUGCCACGCCCCUCACCUGUGCCACGCCCACGCCCCUCACCUGUGCCACGCCCCUCACCUGUGCCAUGGCUGACGUUUGUGCCACGUCCCUCACCCUGGACACACCUGGCAGCGGUGCCACGCCCCUCACCUGUGACACGCCCCUCACCUGUGACACGCCCUCCACCUGUGCCACGCCCCUCACCUGUGACACGCCCACGGCCCUCACCUGGGACACACCCCUCACCUGUGAUACACCUGGCAGCGGUGCCACGCCCCUCACCUGUGCCACGCCCCUCACCUGUGCCACGCCCCCCACCUAUGACACGCCCACGGCCCUCACCUGUGACACACCUGGGAUCGGUUCCAUGCCCGUCACCUGUGCCACGCCCCUCACCUGUGACACGCCCCUCACCUGUGACACGCCCACUGGUGCCACGCCCCUCACCCGUGACACACCUGGGAUCGGUGCCAUGCCCGUGACCUGUGCCACGCCCCUCACCUGUGCCACGCCCCUCACCCGUGACACACCUGACGGUGACACGCCCCUCACCUGCGGGGAUUGUGGGCGGGGCUUCGGGGGAAGCUCCGCCCUCCUCCGGCACCAGCGGCUGCACCUGGGCUGA